rnacentral:rRNA from 1 species
UACGGGGGGGGCAAGCGUUGUUCGGAAUUACUGGGCGUAAAGGGCUCGUAGGCGGCCAACUAAGUCAGACGUGAAAUCCCCAGGCUUAACCUGGGAACUGCGUCUGAUACUGGAUGGCUUGAAUUCGGGAGAGGGAUGCAGAAUUCCUGGUGUAGCGGUGAAAUGCGCAGAUAUCAGGAGGAACACCGGUGGCGAAGGCGGGUCUCUGGGCCGAUACUGACGCUGAGGAGCGAAAGCGUGGGGAGCGAACAGG